rnacentral:rRNA from 1 species
GACGAACGCUGGCGGCGUGCCUAAUACAUGCAAGUCGAACGAGUGGCGGACGGGUGCGUAAUGCUUGGGAAUCUAUCUUUUGUAGGGGGUUAACUACGGGACACUGUAGCUAAUAUCGCGUACCAUAGGAUGAACCAAAGUGGGGUUAGGUAGUUGGUGAGGUAAGGGCUAACCCAGCCGACGAUCUCUAGCGGGUCUGAGGGGAUGACCGGCCACACUGGGACUGAGACACGGCCCAGACUCCUGCGGGAGGCAGCAGUGGGGAAUAUUGCGCAAGGGGGGCAACCUGACGCAGCCAUGCCGCGUGAAUGAAGAAGGCCUGCGGGUUGUAGAGUUCUUUCGGUAGCGAGGCGUUAACUACAGAAGAAGCACCGGCUAACUCCGUGCCAGCAGCCGCGGUAAUAC